UGGUGUGUAGCUCAAUCGGCAGAGCAGCGGAUUGUUAAUCCGCCGGUUCGUGGUUCGACUCCACGCACGCCAG
rnacentral:tRNA from 1 species